rnacentral:ncRNA from 2 species
AAGGGAAGCGCGGUAGAAGCCGCCACUGGUCCGCAACUGUGAUCGGGGACGAAAUCUGCAAGAGCCACUGUCUCGGGACGGUGAUCAGUGAUUAGUGAGGAGUGAUGAGUCUGAAGAAGCGAACGGCUUCCUCACUUAUCACCCGUCACACAUUACUGUUCACUGUUCAAGAUGGGAAGGCGCAGAGAGUAGGACGAGCCGAGAGUCAGGAGACCU